GGAGGAUAAGAAAAAAAAAAAGAAAAAAACAAGAUAGUGAAAUAUGUUGGAGGGUUCUUGCUGCAGUGCAUGUGGUUUAGUCUGAACAUCAGUAUCCAGAAAUGUGCUGUGUCCAACAAAACAAAGCAUGGAGGCUGUUUUUCCACACUUGUGUGGUAGUGGUCAUCUCUGCAGUGUUAAAGUUUCUUUUGCCCAAUGCCAUUCAACACCUCGCUGAGCCAGGUAGUUGUCCCCACAUGUCUCAAAUCCACAGCAAUCAUACCGGUACCAAAGAAAUCACCUGUCUAAAUGACUACCCAUAGCAUCCCAUAGCACUGACUCCAAUCAUGAUCAAAUGCUUUGAGAUGUUAGUCAUGCACAACAUCAGAAAUGAUGUUCCCAGCCUCCCCAACACACUCAAUCAACACACUCUAUCCAGUUUGCAUACCGUCCAAACCAUCAGUAUAGUAUAUUUAGUCAAAAUCUGUCAGUAGGUUAGUUGUGUAUAGGUUAUACUGUUUUACUUAAUAGUUGUAUGUCUGUAUUUGUGUAGCACCGUGGUCCUAUGAGGCAUGAUAUUUUGUUCCACUG